GAUCAGUUUGUUCAGUGUUUGUCUGCAGAGAACUUUUAGUAACUGACCAAAUGAAUUUCUCUGUUUUUCAUGGUGGCCGGGCAGAGUAGACUCUUUGAUCUGAGAUUGCCUGCCAUGGAAAACAGUAAAACAUUAUAAAUACCGUAAAAACAAAAAGGAAAUGUAUCAAAGCGACCGUUUUCAGGAUGUUUUGUAAUGUAGUUUGAGGAACGAAUGAUUGAAGAUUUAUAGUCUUUAAAAAAAAGUCUUCUGAUGGAUGUUUACAUAGACAGACAUCCAUCAGAAGACUCUUUACUUUUAUACAACACGUCCACCUCUCCAUCCGUCCUUUACCUGCACUGACGACCGUCAUGCUCUGCGACUCCUUGAGGAGCUUCGGGAUGGCCGGGUCGUCACGUGAAUACAGAGCGUAACGGUUGAUUCCCAGAUGGAACUUCACCCAGCUGGCAUCGGGGUCAAAGGUCACCUCGUGCUCAAUCACCGUGAUGUUGGACAAGGCUGCUGCCCCGCUGUAGAUCUUCAUAUGUCUGAGGAGAGAGAAGCCAGAGAGAAAUCUGUAGCAGCUUCUAAUAUGACAUUUUAACAGUACGGUUGAGAUAUGUAAAGAGCUCUCGUUCUUGUGGAUGCUUUUUUGGUAGCUGACUGAAAAAGACCAGGACUCUGGCUGUGGUCUAGUUACUCUUGGAUUGCUCGGCUUUAGAAAAAUAUGCUGUUUUUAGAGGCAGUAUUUUAUUUUGGAAGGACUACAGAGCUCUGCGUGAAUAAAAUCCAUGGCAAAGUGGAUUCAACAGGUUUCCUUCCAACAAAAAAUAUUUAUAAAACACACAAGGAAAGGAACUACAAGGGAAACAGAUCUUUCUUUAAUUCAAACUCUGUUUCUUAUUUGAGUUUCCUGCAGCCAAAUAUGUCAUUCACAUAUUUAA